UGUGGCGUGCGCCGUCUACGUGCGCCGCGGCCAUCCGGCAGGCGCCGCCCGUACGGCACGGGGCGGCAGGACGAGAAAGGC
rfam:Olsenella sp. An270 An270_contig_2, whole genome shotgun sequence.